UUGAUUCCUCUCCUCGUAUCCUCUCUUCACUCACCAUGGAAAACACUCUGUUUUUCUUUUUUCUUCUGUUUCCUCUGUUUUCUCUGUUUUCUUUUUUAAAAAAAAGAGAGAAAAACUAAAAGAAGUGUUUUUUUUUUCCUUUCUUUUUUUCUUGUUUAUUUGUUUAAUUUUUUUAUUGAGACUGUUGAGUGAAACUAUGAAAGUGUGUGGUUGUGUUGGUGGGGUUGUGAGAAUGAAUGAGUUAUUGGUGUUUUAAAGGGGGAAGAGGGUGGGAUUUGUGUGUGACAUGGGAAUUAAUAUUUAAACUCACUUUUCUUGGUUUAAAUAUGGACAUUAUAUUUUUGUUAUUCAUCUUCUGUUUUCUUUUUUAAAAAAAAGAGAGAAAAACUAAAAGAAGUUUUUUUUUUUUCCUUUCUUUUUUUCUUGUUUAUUUGUUUAAUUUUUUUAUUGAGACUGUUGAGUGAAACUAUGAAAGUGUGUGGUUGUGUUGGUGGGGUUGUGAGAAUGAAUGAGUUAUUGGUGUUUUAAAGGGGGAAGAGGGUGGGAUUUGUGUGUGACAUGGGAA
rnacentral:lncRNA from 1 species